rnacentral:lncRNA from 1 species
UACAGGGUAGAAAAAUCAAAACUUUGAACAGAUUCAAAAUCACCAAUAUAAGCAUGCAAUUUAUCAAGUACUUCCAACGAGUUCUUGACACUCCAAAAGUAAUUUAUUCCACUAUUUUCGAAGGCCUUAUUUGAACAAUUUAUUAUCAGGUUUUUAAUUGUACCAAGUGUGCUGGUAAAAAGAAUAGACAAUUUAGUAGUUGAACAAUGGCUUGAAGACGAAAUAAAUCUAUAUUUGUAAGGGGUUUUGUGUAGCUUCGGAAGCCAAUACAUAGUUGGGACUUUCAUUGUAUUUGGCUCUGCUUGUAAAGCGGUGGCUAAAAGUUUAUGUUUGUUACAGAUUUCGUUUUCUGAAAAUGGAGUCAGUUGGAAUGUUGGUGAAUUGGUGAUUUCCUUUUUCAGAACCUCAAUGUAAAAUUUACGUCAAACAAUAAUAAUAUUAUUAGCAGCUUUAUCGGCCGGGACAAAAACAAAUUCCUUGGCUAAUUCUUUUAGUUUAUGUUUGAUACGAGAAAUAGGUUUAUUGUGGU